UGACUAAAAAUCCAUGAAGUUGACUGAGGAAAAUUCUUUCUAAGUUUCAGGUGAAACAGCAGGAAGCUAUUGGCGCUGGAUGGUCAGCCUUGAGGGCCACUUCAUAUGUGAGGGGAUCCAGCCCACCUUCUUGAUGGGACUUGCUGCAUUAUUUUCCACCUUCUACACCUGCACGCUCAAAUUAAUCUCAAGGUGCACCGUAGGAAUAAACCCUGAGAGAGGCACCAAGGAUGGACAGGGCAAAGUCUUCUCAAAGAAAACUGGCAAAUUCACGAGCUACAAGACAAGACUACAACCGUAUAUCCACAUGUAUCCACUCUGCUGAUGGGACUCAUGGACUUGAGUGGGACUUCAUUUAAAAUGUCAGCGGGCUACCAAGGCUGGAUUGAGAGAACUGGUGUCUUUGAGUGGGCCAUAAGUCAUUCACUAACUCACUCCCCGACCAUCGCCCAAUACUUGGACUUCCACACUUAUCCAUGUGCCUUGUUA